AUUGAACGCUGGCGGCAGGCCUAACACAUGCAAGUCGAGCGAGCGGCGGACGGGUGAGUAAUGUAUGGGGACUGCCCGAUAGAGGGGGAUAACUACUAGAAACGGUAGCUAAUACCGCAUACUAUCGGAUGACCCAUAGGGGAUUAGCUAGUAGGUGAGGUAAUGGCUCACCUAGGCGACGAUCCCGAGCUGGUCUGAGAGGAUGAUCAGCCACACUGUGACGGCGACAAGGCCCAUACUCCUACGGAGGCAUCAGUGGGGAAUAGUGCACAAUGGGCGCAAGCCUGAUGCAGCCAUGCCGCGUGUAUGAAGAAGGCCCUAGGGUUGUAAAGUACUUUCAGUGGGGAGGCGUUACCGGCAGAAGAAGCACCGGCUAACUCCGUGCCAGCAGCCGCGGUAAUUC
rnacentral:rRNA from 1 species